CGGGCGGGAAUCAAAUGUUGUCCGUGCAUUUACUCAUGAACCGUUCAACCAAAGCUUUUAAAAUUUUAAUAUGUUGUUACUGACAACUAAAUAAAGGUCAAGUUCAAUAAUGGCGAUUUUUACUCUUACUGUUCAGGAGUUAUGGUUCUUGAAAGAUUGAAAAAUGGAGUUUCCAGUCGUGUCCGUGCAUUAACGCAUGAACUGUUCUACCAAAGCUUCCCAAAUUUUAAUAUGUUGUUACUGAUGACAAAAUGGAGGUCAAAUUCAAUAAUGACGAUUUUGACUUUUACCGUUCAGGAGUUAUGGUUCUUGAAAGAUUGAAAAAUGGUGUUUCCAGUUGUGUCCGUGCAUUUUCUCAUGAACUGUUCUACCAAAGCUUCCCAAAUUUUGAUAUGUUGUUACUGAUGACAAAAUAGAGGUCAAGUUCAAUAAUGAUGAUUUUGACUUUUACCGUUCAGGAGUUAUGGUUCUUGAAAGAUUGAAAAAUGGUGUUUCCAGUUGUGUCCGUGCAUUUUCUCAUGAACCAUUCAACCAAAGCUUUUGAAAUUUUUAUAUGUUGUUAUUGAUGACAAAAUAGAGGUCAAGUUCAAUAAUGACGAUUUUGACUUUUACCGUUCAGGAGUUAUGGUUCUUGAAAGAUUGUAAAAUGGCGUUUCUAUUUACAUUGUUGCAUUUUCUCAUGAACCAUUCAAUCUAAGCUUUUCUAAUUUUAAUAUGUUGAUACUGAUGACAAAAUGGAGGUCAAAUUUGAUAUUGACGAUUUUCACUUUCACCAUUCAUCAGUAAUGGUUCUUGCGAUAUUGCCAGGACACAAAUAAAUAUUAAUAAAUCCGGUUUGCUGUCGUUGUGACAGCCUCUUGUU
rnacentral:lncRNA from 1 species